GCCUGUACGACUCCUCACAGCUAACCAAGGCAGUGUGUGUUUGAAAUUGAGGAGAUAAUAAAAGGAAGGAUCAUAUGAAUGCUCCAUGGAAAAUUACAAUCAAACAUCAACUGCUUUCAUCUUGUUGGGAUUGUCGCCACCACCAAAAAUUGGCCAUUUCAUCUUCAUUCUCAUUAAUUUCGUUUUCCUAAUGGCUCUAAUUGGAAACCUAUCCAUGAUUCUUCUCAUCUUCUUGGACAUCCAUCUCCACACACCCAUGUAUUUCCUACUUAGUCAGCUCUCCCUCAUUGACCUAAAUUAUAUUUCCACCAUUGUUCCUAAGAUGGUUUAUGAUUUUUCUGUAUGGAAACAAGUCUAUCUCCUUCACUGGGUGUGGGAUUCAGAGUUUCUUCUUCCUGACUUUAGCAGGUGCAGAAGCGCUGCUCCUGACAUCAAUGGCCUAUGAUCGUUAUGUGGCUAUUUGCUUUCCUCUCCACUAUCCCAUCCGUAUGAGAAAAAGAGUGUGUGCACUGAUGAUAACAGGAUCUUGGAUGAUAGGCUCCAUCAACUCUUGUGCUCACACGGUAUAUGCACUCCGUAUCCCAUAUUGCAAGUCCAGAGCCAUCAAUCAUUUUUUCUGUGAUGUUCCAGCUAUGUUGACCCUAGCCUGCACGGAUACCUGGGUCUAUGAGUGCACGGUGUUUUUGAGCACCACCAUUUUUCUUGUGUUUCCCUUCAUUUGUAUUGCAUGUUCCUAUGGCCGGAUUCUCCUUGCUGUCUACCACAUGCACUCUGCAGAAGGGAGGAAGAAGGCCUAUUCGACCUGCAGCACCCACCUCACUGUAGUGACUUUCUACUAUGCACCCUUUGCUUAUACCUAUCUACGCCCAAGAUCCCUGCGAUCUCCGACAGAGGACAAGGUUCUGGCUGUCUUCUACACCAUCCUCACUCCAAUGCUCAACCCCAUCAUCUACAGCCUGAGAAACAAGGAGGUGAUGGGGGCCCUGACACGAGUGAUUCAGAAAAUCUUUUCAGUGAAAAUAU
ensembl:lncRNA novel transcript